rnacentral:rRNA from 1 species
ACUCCUACGGGAGGCAGCAGUGGGAAUAUUGCACAAUGGGCGCAAGCCUGAUGCAGCCAUGCCGCGUGUGUGAAGAAGGCCUUCGGGUUGUAAAGCACUUUCAGUUGUGGAGGAGGUGGUGUACGUAAUAGCGCAUUCAUUGACGUUAGCAACAGAAGAAGCACCGGCUAACUCCGUGCCAGCAGCCGCGGUAAUACGGAGGGUGCGAGCGUUAAUCGGAAUUACUGGGCGUAAAGCGCAUGCAGGUGGUUUGUUAAGUCAGAUGUGAAAGCCCGGGGCUCAACCUCGGAACUGCAUUUGAAACUGGCAGACUAGAGUACUGUAGAGGGGGGUAGAAUUUCAGGUGUAGCGGUGAAAUGCGUAGAGAUCUGAAGGAAUACCGGUGGCGAAGGCGGCCCCCUGGACAGAUACUGACACUCAGAUGCGAAAGCGUGGGGAGCAAACAGGAUUAGAUACCCUGGCAGCCUCUGCU